UUUAAAAUGAAAUUUAUAGCUGAAAAUUUUUUUUUCAUUGUUUGUAACUUUCUGUAUUAUCUAAUUCUGUAUUAUCCUGUACUUUUUUAAUAUCAAAAAAGUACCCAUCCAAGCCAGUAUCCUCGAACGAAGGCGUACAUAACCAAAAGCGUCGCGUAACAGGUAACGCACGGCCGCCGCCCUAACGACCACUUGUCGCUGGAUGAGACAAUGAACUGCUGCAGGUAUCGGGAGAAGAUCCAUCAAAGUCUAAUACUCCAGGUGAAGACAUACAGUUUGAUCUUGCACAACCGAGAAGAGUGCCUUUGUCAUCAGUGUCAUCUAUAAUAUAAAAAAUGAAUCGCAGAAUGUGUAGGUAAGCGCAUAACUAUACAAAGCCUGAACCAAUUGUA